UUGAGGAUUUCAGACACUGCUGAUCUGCUGGGAUUUUCACACACGACCAUCUUUAGGGUUUAUAGGAAAAAGGCCGAAAAAGAAAAAACAUCCAGUGAGCAGCGGAUCACUGGGUGAAAAUGCCUGGAUGGCGGAGGUCAGAGAAGAAUGGCCAGACUGGUUCAAGCUGAUAGAAAGGCAACAGUAACUCAAGUCACCGCUCUUUACAACCAAGGUACGGCUGGUGAUCAGUUUCCAUGGAAAUGCAACUCAUCAGUUGCUGGUUCGCAACAGGGAGCAUAAAAAAAGCGAAUCAGGCCUGUUUUGAUGGAAGGAAGCCAUUGCUCCUUUAGUUCACUGAGGCGUGGCAAGCGUCUUGAUCAAGCCACAACAGGUAACAAAUCUCACAUACACACACUUAUAAUUUAUUGUCUUUUGUUAAAUGCUUGGUGUUCAGGAA